GGAAAUGGACUAAUGGCACUUCAAAUUCCUGCUGCAACUGAUGUUACUUUUGAUUCUGAUUUUUACUGUGGUAAAAACUUUGAACUUCUUGGAACUUGCCUAUUAGACAUGGCCAAGGAGGUAAGGAAUCGCUCCAUGAUUAUCUUAAAUUGAAUACUUUCUCUAGAAUGAAAUAUAAGCAAAAAAGAAUCGAGAAAGUCAAAUGCAUUUAGUUCAAAUUUAAACUAAAAACAUUUAUUUUUAUUUGCCUCAUGUGAUUGCAGGAAAAAGUUGAUGAAGAAAAAGUGGACACUUUCAAUAUACCAAUAUUUUUCUCACCCCUUAAGGAUCUGAUAAAAAUUCUUGAAAGCAAUGAUGAUUUCAUCAUUGAGCAAAUGGAAACAAUGGAUGCUAAAAGCCAUUUCAUUCCAGUUAAUGCUCAAAUGUAUGUUUCAUUCCACAGAGCUGCGCUGGAAGGAGUAAUUGAGAACCAUUUUGGAAAUGGAAUUCUUGAUGAACUCUUUCAUCGCUAUACUAAGAAAGUGAUGGAAAUUCCUGCUAUAAUGGAUUUACAAAACCUUAAUAUAGUUGGACUUUUUGUCCUUCUUAGGCGCAAGGUGUAGUACAAUUAAUUAACUAGUAGCCAAUUAUGAAUAAUAAUAAUAAGCAUUAUUACAACAUGAAGUUUAUAAUUUGUUGUAAACUUUUACUUUUCAGUGUCUUUUAAUAUGUAUUUCCUAUUAUCCUUUAAGCAAUAGCAUUUCAAUUCAUAGCAAAGCAUAACUUUAAUUUAGGCAAAAAUAGGAUGACCAUAUCGGACUACAUUUUAGCAAAGCAUCAUUUGGAGUGUGAGAGUGCGAAUGAUUUCUCUCAAUUUUGUUUCCUUCGCUUUUUUUAAUGUUUCAUGAUCUCCUCCACCUUUACAACUCUUUUUUUCCUUUCUAAUGGAUGAUUCAUUCUCACUGUGUGAGAAUGUGCAGAAGAAUAACAGAAACAGUUCAUCGCACAACAUGAAAUAUCACGCAUACAAUUAAGGUGAUCUUGAACACAACCACACGAGUUUAGUUGAGUAACCACACUAAGAGCACCAUCGUAGUUGACAACAAUCGUGGUUGGCUGAUAAGAAAUAGGUGCUGGUAUCUUGGUCUAUAAAUGCCACUUGUAAAUUGCAUCGUAGACACAUUAAUCAAACAAGCAACUUAUUUUACUUGCAUAUUUACCUUUUGUUUUUUAUUCCUUUAACUUUUUUACUUAUGUUUUUCUUAACAUUUAUGAUAUCGUCUUUCACUCUUUGAAGUACUUAAAGAACCCACGAGGGACAAAGAAAAAACAAAAUCAUUAUUGAGAACUAUUAGCCGAGCAUUUGCUAACUUUGAUGUUCAGCAAUAAGCAUAUAGUUAACCCCUCUUUCAAUAACUCUAUAAUAUAGAAGACACUGUGACUUCCAUUUAUAUGUAUGUGUGUCUAUAUAUAUAUUAAUGGACAUGACUUUAUUUCAUCUCUCUUAUAUGAUUAGGAAAAUUUUCUAAAUAUCAAAAUACAAUUAUAUACCUCUUAAAUUUCAGGUGAUUUGCAUGGGACCAUAGACACCGAGAAACAUUUUAUGAUUCUCUGAACGGCUAACCUAACACCAACUCCUCUUAACUCAUACUCCUC
rnacentral:lncRNA from 1 species